AGGUCUGGCCUGCCCAGUGAAUUUUUAACGGCCGCAGUAUCCUAACCGCGCGAAGGUAGCAUAAUCACUUGUUCUUUAAAUGAGGACUUGUAUCAACGGCAUCACGAGGGUUUUACUGUCUCCUCUUUCUGAUCAGUGAAAUUGAUCUUCCCGUGAAGAAGCGGGAAUAUACAUAUAAGACGAGAAGACCCCAUGGAGCUUCAAACCUGACAACAACUUAACCGUAAAACCCCUAAUAGUUAUAAAGCAAUGCUGUAAGGUUUUGGGUUGGGGUGACCACGGAGUAAAACACAACCUCCACGACGAAAAGGCCACAAUCUUUAUUUAAGAACAACAAUUCUAGAAAUUAGCACACUAACGCUCUCUGAUCCGAUAAUCGAUCAACGGACCAAGUUACCCUGGGGAUAACAGCGCAAUCUACUUCAAGAGCCCAUAUCGACAAGUAGGCUUACGACCUCGAUGUUGGAUCAGGAUAUCCCAGUGGUGCAGCCGCUACUAAAGGUUCGUUUGUUCAACGAU
rnacentral:rRNA from 1 species